CACUGCCGAGAAAAGCCUCUAGAUAGAAAAUAGGUGCCCGUACCGCAAACCGACACAGGUAGUCAAGAUGAGAAUUCUAAGGUGAGCGAGCGAACUCUCGUUAAGGAACUCGGCAAAAUGACCCCGUAACUUCGGGAGAAGGGGUGCUCUUUAGGGUUAACGCCCAGAAGAGCCGCAGUGAAUAGGCCCAAGCGACUGUUUAUCAAAAACACAGGUCUCUGCUAAACCGUAAGGUGAUGUAUAGGGGCUGACGCCUGCCCGGUGCUGGAAGGUUAAGAGGAGUGGUUAGCUUCUGCGAAGCUACGAAUCGAAGCCCCAGUAAACGGCGGCCGUAACUAUAACGGUCCUAAGGUAGCGAAAUUCCUUGUCGGGUAAGUUCCGACCCGCACGAAAGGCGUAACGAUUUGGGCACUGUCUCAACGAGAGACUCGGUGAAAUCAUAGUACCUGUGAAGAUGCAGGUUACCCGCGACAGGACGGAAAGACCCCGUGGAGCUUUACUGUAGCCUGAUAUUGAAAUUCGGCACAGCUUGUACAGGAUAGGUAGGAGCCUUUGAAACGUGAGCGCUAGCUUACGUGGAGGCGCUGGUGGGAUACUACCCUAGCU
rnacentral:rRNA from 1 species